UACAGAGGAUGCAAGCGUUAUCCGGAAUGAUUGGGCGUAAAGCGUCUGUAGGUGGCUUUUUAAGUCCGCCGUCAAAUCCCAGGGCUCAACUCUGGACAGGCGGUGGAAACUACCAAGCUGGAGUACGGUAGGGGCAGAGGGAAUUUCCGGUGGAGCGGUGAAAUGCGUAGAGAUCCGGAAGAACACCGGUGGCGAAGGCGGCCCGCUGGGCAACUGCUGACACUGAUGCGCGACAGCGUGGGGAGCAAACAGG
rnacentral:rRNA from 1 species